GCGGGAUGAUGCCAUUUUCCCUCCAACCCUCUGUUAGCCUGUGGAUGCUGCGUGAGCCGUGGCCAAGGACGGCUGACACGGUCCUGAAGCCCCGGAGGGCCAGUCCCAGGGGCUGGCUUUGAGAGGAGGGUCUGGUUGCUGAGCCGUGAAAGGCCUCAUGGAGAGGGGGCUUCUGAAAAUUUCCGUCUCCCCGCCUCCAGGUGCCCAGCAGUCCAGCCCUGACCAAGUUAUUCUUGGCAAACGCGAGCCGUCUCAGCGUCCUCGGGGCACGGAGCCUCCGGCCACUGAGGUGCUAUAAUCUGUGCUGGUGCAACUCUGUCCACAGCGGGC
rnacentral:lncRNA from 1 species